UUAGCUUUCUUCUUAUCAUUUUCAAGUUCCCUUGCAGUUUUCCUCAUGUGCUUUGACAAACAUCCUCGAAAAGCUGAGCAGAGUAGCCAUGACUAUAGAAAAAGUUGCAGACAAAAGGGAAAGUGAUAAAUCUGAGUGAAACAAAGUAUAAG